AGAGUUUGAUCGUGGCUCAGGACGAACGCUGGCGGCGUGCCUAAUACAUGCAAGUCGUACGCUUCUUUUUCCACCGGAGCUUGCUCCACCGGAAAAAGAAGAGUGGCGAACGGGUGAGUAACACGUGGGUAACCUGCCCAUCAGAAGGGGAUAACACUUGGAAGCAGGUGCUAAUACCGUAUAACAAUCGAAACCGCAUGGUUUUGAUUUGAAAGGCGCUUUCGGGUGUCGCUGAUGGAUGGACCCGCGGUGCAUUAGCUAGUUGGUGAGGUAACGGCUCACCAAGGCCACGAUGCAUAGCCGACCUGAGAGGGUGAUCGGCCACAUUGGGACUGAGACACGGCCCAAACUCCUACGGGAGGCAGCAGUAGGGAAUCUUCGGCAAUGGACGAAAGUCUGACCGAGCAACGCCGCGUGAGUGAAGAAGGUUUUCGGAUCGUAAAACUCUGUUGUUAGAGAAGAACAAGGAUGAGAGUAACUGUUCAUCCCUUGACGGUAUCUAACCAGAAAGCCACGGCUAACUACGUGCCAGCAGCCGCGGUAAU
rnacentral:rRNA from 1 species